AGCGAACGCUGGCGGCAGGCCUAACACAUGCAAGUCGAACGAAGUCUUCGGACUUAGUGGCGGACGGGUGAGUAACACGUGGGAACGUGCCUUUAGGUUCGGAAUAACUCAGGGAAACUUGUGCUAAUACCGAAUGUGCCCUUCGGGGGCAAGAUUUAUCGCCUUUAGAGCGGCCCGCGUCUGAUUAGCUAGUUGGUGAGGUAAAGGCUCACCAAGGCGACGAUCAGUAGCUGGUCUGAGAGGAUGAUCAGCCACAUUGGGACUGAGACACGGCCCAAACUCCUACGGGAGGCAGCGGUGGGGAAUCUUGCGCAAUGGGCGAAAGCCUGACGCAGCCAUGCCGCGUGAAUGAUGAAGGUCUUAGGAUUGUAAAAUUCUUUCACCGGGUACGAUAAUGACGGUACCCGGAGAAGAAGCCCCGGCUAACUUCGUGCCAGCAGCCGCCGUAACAC
rnacentral:rRNA from 1 species